GAUGGUGAUCUCAAAAUUGAAACCCAGCGGUGCGCUAAAGCGUCGCCCAACUAGAAUCGGAUCAUUAUUCACACGGAAGCCCCAGCACAGCUUCAUCAUACGGUCAUGGGGGACCGCCGCUACCUCGCUUUCACUUGGUACCGAUUUCCCAUAAUCCAUGUGAUGUGACGUAGUGGUACCUUCCCUUGGCUAUUACAACACUUCCUCCUCAGACCACGACGAUGACGAUGGGACGUUGAGGAAAAUCAGAGAUGAAUAACGCUAAUCCAUAUCAUCAACCCAACCAACUCCAGGAUUCCAACGAUGACGUACAUCCUCAGAAGCAACUCCAUCUAGCGAGAGGGAGACCAGACCUGCAAUCUUCCGAUCCGCACCGGGCGAUAAACCAGCGCUAUUUCAACACGUUCAAACCUUGCUGGCAGAGCCGAUUACUAACACGACGGCAGCCUCCACCCGAAAUUGACGAUCCUCCGUCACUUGGCGUGACCCGGACCAAGGCAAGGCAAUUCCUCUCGAAGCCGGCGGGAAACCAGAUUAGGUGAUAAACAAUCUCUUCCCGGGCCAUUAUCUAUAACCAAACUGCAAAUUAAAUAAACGCUUCUUGACAUCCGUU